UGAAGUCCCCAACCACCGGCGCUGGGCGGAAGUGGCCUUAGUGAGCCUGCACAGGGCGACAUGCGCGAGGGUGGGGGCGCCCCCCGACUCUGUGGACUUCCUGAUUCCAAACCAGAUGUGAUCUCCAAGCUGGAGCAGUGGGAAGACCCGUGGACUGUGGAGAGAGACGUCCCAAGAGGUCCAGGAAGCUCUGUGUGCUGAAACGUGGUGUCACCAAGUCCAGCUCUUUAAAAACUGUGUCGCUCCUCAGCUUCAGCAUGAAGACUGUUGAAAUCAGCUGCGACGGUGAUGCCGGUGUAAGGCUUCCACACUGUGUAUGCACUUUGCAAGUGUUGUCCCAUCUCAUCCUGUCAGCGGCCCUGGGAUGCAGGCAUCUCUAUCCCCACUUAGAGCUGAGAUUCUCAGAGGUUAAACUGCUUGCCCAAGGCCAGCUGGAAGCCAUUCACUGUUCAGGAUGGAAAUAUUAGAUGUAGCACAUAAGGACAGCGUGGUGGAAGUCCAUCCAUCCCUUUCAGCGGACACCAAGACGUGUGGAAUAUAAAGCCCCCUUGAGUAUUGGGAGAUAACAGGAGGAUUGGGUCCCGUCUGAAGAAGCAACUCGAGGCAAAGGCAGCGUGGGAACUGGGCAGUCCUUGCUCAAUCCAGACGUCGUUGGUGAAAUGCCUGCUGGGAGCCACGAGCUUGUUCCCGUCACAGGCGGGGGCCUUUCACUUCCUGUACAACUUUGCUCAGGGCUUCCCUGUGGCCACCAAGAGCACAGGCUUCGGACGCGCAGGCUCAGCGGCCAUGGCUCACAGACCCAGCCGCUCCGUGACAUGUGAGAUCCUCUCGGACCGGGGCACGAACCCGUGUCCCCUGCAUCGGCAGGCGGACUCUCAACCACUGCGCCACCAGGGAAGCCCCCCUCCCUUACCUCUUUGAACAAUGUUACUGCGAACAUUUCUGUAUAAGAUUUUGUGUGGACAUAUGUUUUCAUUUCUCCAACUGUUUUCCACAGAGGCUGCAUCAUUUUACAUUUCCACCGGCAAUGUAUGAGGGUUCCUAUUUCUCCACAUCGUCACCUACACUUGUUACCUGUCUUUCAGAUCACAGCCAUCCUCUUGGGUGUGAAGUGGGAUCACAGUGUGGCUUUGAUUUGCAAUUCCCUGAUGACAAAGGAUGUUGAGCAUCCAUUCAUGUGCUUAUUGGCCAUCUGCAUGUUUUCCUUGGGGAAAUGUUACUGUCUUUGCCCAUUAUUAUUUUAUUUAUUUAUGUAGCCACACUGUGUGGCUUGCAGAAUCUUAGUUUCCCCACCAGCGAUGGAACCUGGGCCCCCAGCAGUCCUAACCACCGGCCCACCAGGGAAUUCCCUGCCCAUUUUUAAAUUGGGUUAUUUAGGGGCUUUGUUGUUGGGUUAUUUGCGUUGUAAGAGUUCUUUAUAUAUCCCGGAUGCAAGUUGUGUGUUUGUGUGUCUGUGUGUCUUUAUGUGGGUCUGUAUGUCUGUGUGAGCCUGUGUGUGUGGCUGUGUCUGAGCAGGUACAACUUUGCCUCCCCCCAUGGACAUGGAGAAGCAGAGGGCGUCAUGGUCAUCUGGGAAGAGCAGAGGGUUUAUUAUCUCCGUGUUACAGAGAAGGAAGUAGAAGGCCAGAUAAAUGAAGUCAUUUGCCCAUAAAAGAGUUAAGAGGCAGAACUGGGAAUUGAAAUCAGCUGGGUCCCUCUCCAUAGCCUUUGCUUCCAACUGCACUAUGCUGUUUCUUAUCCAGUGGCUCUCAGCCU